AAAGAAACUAACUAGGAUUCCCUUAGUAACGGCGAGUGAACCGGGAUGAGCUCAAAUUUAAAAUCUGGCGUCUUUCAGGCGUCCGAGUUGUAAUCUAUAGAGGCGUUUUCCGCGCCGGACCGCGUCCAAGUCCCUUGGAAUAGGGUAUCAAAGAGGGUGACAAUCCCGUACUUGACGCGACGACCGGUGCUCUGUGAUACGUUCUCAACGAGUCGAGUUGUUUGGGAAUGCAGCUCUAAAUGGGUGGUAAAUUCCAUCUAAGGCUAAAUAUUGGCGAGAGACCGAUAGCGAACAAGUACCGUGAGGGAAAGAUGAAAAGCACUUUGGAAAGAGAGUUAAACAGCACGUGAAAUUGUUAAAAGGGAAACGAUUGAAGUCAGUCGUGUGGGAGGUAUUCAGCCGUCUCUGGCGGUGUAUUUGCCUCUCACGGGUCAACAUCAGUUUGAUCCGGUAGAAAAAGGCGGGAGGAAGGUGGCACCCUCGGGUGUGUUAUAGCCUCCUGUCACAUGUGCCGG
rnacentral:rRNA from 1 species